UAGAAAGUGGGUCGCUCCCACAAACACAGGAAGUACUGGCAGAAUCUGUUGUUUUGUGUUUCUGGCUGUCUAGCAUGCUGAGUAAAAAAAGAAAGUGCUGGAGGAAGAUCAGCUAUGGACUGCAAGCUGAAUCUGGACUUCCUGGAAACUGACAUUGCUCCCUACCUCUUCGGGUUGAUCAACUAACCAGAUGCUUGUGACUGCCCCACUGCCCAGCCUUUGACUGGCAUUUCAGCCUCCCUAGCCCCUGAUGCCAAUGGUCCAUUGUCAGCACUGAAGAAGCUCCAGAAGAUGGAUUUUCAGCUUCAAAGCCCACCUAGCAGGCUGAAAUGCUAAGUCAAAAGGGGUUCUCUGGCAUUAGCUAUUAUCUUGGGCAUCUGCUUAGCUGAAAUGGAAACUAAUAUUGCAGCAACUGGACUAAAAGCCUAGAGAGACACUAGAGAAAAAGGAUAAUAGUUCUCUUUGGCUUACUACCCCUAUAUCCACCCUGAAGGGACCCCAUUUUGAUUUUUAUCUUUGGGCCUUGUAUUUUAAACUGUGUGAUGUCUUUCAUGAAAAAAAAUGUUUGGGAGCAAUACACUAAUGGUACUCAGAUCCCAUUGUAAAAAGGUAAAUCUAUAGGAUACAAGGGGUCAUAUCUGGAAGACCCAAGAUUGGGUCUUCAAAUGAUCAUGGGAAGGGGGGAAAUGAGAGACCAAAAGAUUAAAAAUCAGCCAUUAUUAAAGUUUAAGGCCUAAACUAGCUGGGUGAGGUCCAGUAAUACUCUGAGGGGAAGAACCUGCCAUACUGCAUUCUUUCCCCACCCACUAGAGACACAGUUGCUAGGAAACUGGCCCAUCCCCCUAAGGAAGGACACCAGAUCAUUAAUGGUUUGGGGACCUUCCUAUAGCCAAUCAAUUCAAAAUGUAGCAUUUUGACCAAUAGAUGCUUGCCAGGCAGGAAUCACCCCUGCCUUGGGCAUGCUGGGAGGGACCAAAAUCUUUAAAUCACCCAACUAACCUGAGCACGGGGCUCUCGGCUCUCACUGCUUUGGCAAUGUGUGUGUGUGGGGGGGAGCCCAAGCUGCAGCUUGUAAUUUGUAAUAAAAAGAUCCUCAUAUGGUUUGCAACGGA